rnacentral:lncRNA from 1 species
CUCAGCGGGACUUUGUAAUACUAUGUGCACUCCCUCAUGUGUUACUAUUAUACAAAACAGGAAACAAAAUUGGACAUACUGGUUAAUGCUUCAACCAAAUUUACUCGCUCAAGAACAUUUCCAUAGUUUUUCUGCUUUGUUUUUUUUUACACAUUUAAUUAUUGUAAUUAUUUCCUGAUAUCUGGGAUAUAUACGACCUGUCCUGUGUAAGUGGAGGAGAGUAAAACGUAUUUGGAUUGAGACAUGGAGCAGCUCUUUUUUCUUAUCAUUCCCCUGUUUGCAUCUUCAUCCAUAAUCUCAGCAGAAGUCCAAACUGAAAAAACAAUGACUUCUACUUUUUCAUCUCAAUAUGAGAAUGGCAUGACCAGCCACACCUCAAAAACUGUGAGCAUAACCACAGCUCCUGUAUCUUCUAGCCACACAGUGGGUGUUUCCGUACUUCCAAACACAGCUAAUUCAAACAUCAGCCUGUCUGAGGGGACGCCAACACCUUCACAGGCACCAGACAGCGGCCUCACUUUGCUCGCCUUUGGUGUGAUGAGUCUUAUACUAAUUUUAAUUGUUGUCAUGGUGGUCUUGGUGACUGCUAUCAACCUCAGGGGACGGUGUAGAGACACCAAACAGCAUGAGGGUGGGUUUCUCUCUAAUUCUGUCAGUUUCAAG